GACUAAGGUUCGAUUCGAGCGAAAGCGAGAAAGCGUUGCCAACGGCAACGACCCGAAGGGCGAAGCGCGCAGCGCUGAGUAAUCCUUCCCCCGUCAUCC
rnacentral:sRNA from 2 species